rnacentral:rRNA from 1 species
UACGUAGGUGGCAAGCGUUGUCCGGAUUUACUGGGUGUAAAGGGUGCGCAGGCGGGAUUGCAAGUUGGAUGUGAAAUACCGGGGCUUAACCCCGGGGCUGCAUCCAAAACUGUAGUUCUUGAGUGAAGUAGAGGUAGGCGGAAUUCCGAGUGUAGCGGUGAAAUGCGUAGAUAUCCGGAGGAACACCAGUGGCGAAGGCGGCCUACUGGGCUUUAACUGACGCUGAGGCACGAAAGCAUGGGGAGCAAAC